rnacentral:tRNA from 1 species
GAGAUGAUAGCUCAGUUGGUAGAGCAACGCCCUUUUAAGGCGUGGGUCCUGGGUUCAAGUCCCAGUCGUCUCACCA